UGCCAGUGUGAUGCAUCUACUCUUCACUAUGUUAUGGAGAUGGGUCCUUGCUCUCCUUCCAAGAAGGAAACAUCUCCUGAUUUCCUGGCCACGCUCAUCUUUGUGCCUAGAAAUACAAACCCUGUCACCGUCUCCACGUUUUCUCCACGUGCCAGUUGUGUGGCUCCAUCCCAUGUCCCAGGAUCCCCUUCGCAGCCCUGACUCUGCUCUCCUCCGUUGCUUUCCUUGCAGAGAAAACCAAGAAGGGCGUCCAGAUCCCGCUUCCGGAAGGGAUGGACUUCAUGAAGGAAGUGGUCACCAACCACAUGGGCUACCUCACCAUCGGCGCCGACCUCCAUUUCUCCAAAGGGCUGCGAGAGGUCAUUGAGAAGUACCGGACGCCCGCCUCCAUGGCCGCUUAAGGGCAGCCUCGGCCACACUUCCUUCCUCUCUUCCUCCCUUCCUUCCUUCUUUUCACCAGCACUUCCUCAGCUCAAAGGACCGAACCCACCCAGGGACCCCUCCUCACUCGAUUCGGGACCAAAAGCAGGCACGGCAAGGACGGCACGGCAAUGCCCGCAGCCCUGCCUCGGACCAAAACCAAUAAAGAAGUUUAGAUUUGA